rnacentral:rRNA from 1 species
GGGUAGGGGAGCGUUCUGUAAGCCUGCGAAGGUGGCCUGUGAGGGUUGCUGGAGGUAUCAGAAGUGCGAAUGCUGACAUAAGUAACGAUAAAGCGGGUGAAAAGCCCGCUCGCCGGAAGACCAAGGGUUCCUGUCCAACGUUAAUCGGGGCAGGGUGAGUCGACCCCUAAGGCGAGGCCGAAAGGCGUAGUCGAUGGGAAACGGGUUAAUAUUCCCGUACUUGGUGUUACUGCGAAGGGGGGACGGAGAAGGCUAUGUUGGCCGGGCGACGGUUGUCCCGGUUUAAGCGUGUAGGUGUGUGUUCCAGGUAAAUCCGGUUCACUUUAACACUGAGGCGUGACGACGAGGCACUACGGUGCUGAAGCAACAAAUGCCCUGCUUCCAGGAAAAGCCUCUAAGCAUCAGGUAACAUCAAAUCGUACCCCAAACCGACACAGGUGGUCAGGUAGAGAAUACCAAGGCGCUUGAGAGAACUCGGGUGAAGGAACUAGGCAAAAUGGUGCCGUAACUUCGGGAGAAGGCACGCUGACACGUAGGUGAAGUGAUUUACUCA